AAGGCUGGUGGAUUAGAAGAAAACAUGGAAACCCAGAAAAUCUCCGUUUUGGAUCACGUAAAUGGAUUUCAAUACACAACGGAGAAAUCUGAUAGCUUUGUUAUGGAUAUGGAAAGCUUCUCCCAUGUCAGCAACAAUAAAGAUAUCAAUCCAAAUUCAAGAAUCACAGUGAGUUUAAUCCCUCUUUCAAAAUUUCAAUCUUUUUUUUUCUUUUUUUUUCCUCUCUUGGAUAAUUUCUCUUUUGCUUCAUUCAAGAACACGCAAACGUGCUUCUUUAAAAAUUUUGUAUUAGUCAUGUGUUUAUAUAUUUUUUUUGUCCGAGUCAUGUGUUUAUAAAAUGGUGAUUAAAGGGUGUCUUUAGUCUCGAUGUGCUAUUUUUGUUUUAAUGAAUAAAAAUAGUUACAGAGAAGCCAUUCCAGAAAAGGAUCUCUACGCGGUGGCAGUGGCGGAGGUUGCAUCGAGAAGAAUAUUAAUUCUGAUCCUUCUCCUCAUGACAGAAACACUAUUGCUGCUUCCUCCUCCUCACCCAGAGGGCCUAGCAUGUCUGAAAAAGCCUCGUUGGUGGCGGUUGGGACCACUGAUCAUUCUAGCAACUCACAAGUUCAUCACCAGAUCACCAUUACUACUACAACUGGCAAUCUGAAUGCCUCCACAGAAAGCAGAUGCACCAUCAGGAGAAACAGUUUCAAACGUUCUCCUUCUUCAUGGGCAAUUGAUCCCAAAAGAAUUCUUUUCUUUUUUGCCACCUUGUAAGUUCAUAUUAGUUAAGGGGAAUGUAUAAAGGUUCAUGAGGUGAGGCUCUGCUAUUAAUUACAAGAUAAUGGUUACUGGAAGUGCUAAAAUAUAUUAUAUUGUAUGUGACAGAUCAAGCAUGGGAACAAUGUUGCUAAUAUACUUCACUCUUUCUGUGGGCAAGCUUGGUGCAGAUGACAGUGCCCUCGAUUGAUACCAGCAAGCCAGCCUGUAGUAUACCUUAUCAGAUAAAGAAAAUAACCAUUGCUUACCUUUCAGAGCAGAGUGUGAUCAGAUGUGGAGAAAGUCCUUUUUUUUUUCAAGGAUAGGCUUCUUCUGAUGAAAAUUUUCAGAGAAAAAUUCAGAAUAUGGACAAAUGAGAAGAUGGGAAAAAGCUAACCGACCAUCCACCAUCGAUGCUUCAACUAUGGAGUGCUUAAAUGUUCCAGGGAAAUAUUAUAAAAUUUAGAGUUGUAGACAAGAACAAAGACCAAUGAGACAAAGAAAAAGAACCUUUUUUGAAAUUUAUGGCAGAAGAAACAUGGUGCUUCCGACCGAUCGUAUAGAUCUUAGUGGAGGACUAGAUAGUCACUUUCUUUUUGAAAAUGGCUUUCACUUUCUUUCUUCUGUGCAUGUUUAUUUUUUAUUACAUUCCCAUCCAUGCUUUGCAUUUAUGUAGUUAGGCCCUUUGAAUAGACUUUAAUGGCUUUCUUGCUAGUUAGACAAAUACGAGGAUAAUGCUACUAUAUUCACGCAUGCAAACUUCUACCUUUCACCUUUGUUUUACAAAAAUAAAUACUCAAUUCAAC
rnacentral:misc_RNA from 1 species